rnacentral:rRNA from 1 species
UCGUCACACUAUCAUUAACUGAAUCCAUAGGUUAAUGAGGCGAACCGGGGGAACUGAAACAUCUAAGUACCCCGAGGAAAAGAAAUCAACCGAGAUUCCCCCAGUAGCGGCGAGCGAACGGGGAGGAGCCCAGAGCCUGAAUCAGCAUGUGUGUUAGUGGAAGCGUCUGGAAAGGCGCGCGAUACAGGGUGACAGCCCCGUACACAAAAGCGCAUGUGCUGUGAGCUCGAUGAGUAGGGCGGGACACGUGGUAUCCUGUCUGAAUAUGGGGGGACCAUCCUCCAAGGCUAAAUACUCCUGACUGACCGAUAGUGAACCAGUACCGUGAGGGAAAGGCGAAAAGAACCCCGGCGAGGGGAGUGAAAAAGAACCUGAAACCGUGUACGUACAAGCAGUGGGAGCACAGGUUUACCUGUGUGACUGCGUACCUUUUGUAUAAUGGGUCAGCGACUUAUAUUCUGUAGCAAGGUUAACCGAAUAGGGGAGCCGGAGGGAAACCGAGUCUUAAUUGGGCGUUAAGUUGCAGGGUAUAGACCCGAAACCCGGUGAUCUAGCCAUGGGCAGGUUGAAGGUUGGGUAACACUAACUGGAGGACCGAACCGACUAAUGUUGAAAAAUUAGCGGAUGACCUGUGGCUGGGGGUGAAAGGCCAAUCAAACCGGGAGAUAGCUGGUUCUCCCCGAAAGCUAUUUAGGUAGCGCCUCGUGAAUUCAUCUCCGGGGGUAGAGCACUGUUUCGGCUAGGGGGCCAUCCCGGCUUACCAACCCGAUGCAAACUGCGAAUACCGGAGAAUGUUAUCACGGGAGACACACGGCGGGUGCUAACGUCCGUCGUGAAGAGGGAAACAACCCAGACCGCCAGCUAAGGUCCCAAAGUCAUGGUUAAGUGGGAAACGAUGUGGGAAGGCCCAGACAGCCAGGAUGUUGGCUUAGAAGCAGCCAUCAUUUAAAGAAAGCGUAAUAGCUCACUGGUCGAGUCGGCCUGCGCGGAAGAUGUAACGGGGCUAAACCAUGCACCGAAGCUGCGGCAGCGAACGUAUCACUUAAAGCGAUUCAGCGGGUUACGAUUGACGGAGCGAAGCGACGUCAAAGCGUAUACAAAGUCGAGUCGGUUUAAGGAUACGUUCGUUGGGUAGGGGAGCGUUCUGUAAGCCUGUGAAGGUGGCCUGUGAGGGUUGCUGGAGGUAUCAGAAGUGCGAAUGCUGACAUAAGUAACGAUAAAGCGGGUGAAAAGCCCGCUCGCCGGAAGACCAAGGGUUCCUGUCCAACGUUAAUCGGGGCAGGGUGAGUCGACCCCUAAGGCGAGGCCGAAAGGCGUAGUCGAUGGGAAACGGGUUAAUAUUCCCGUACUUGGUG